GUAUUUUCAAGCUUUGUCCACGUGGCAGCAUGUGUCAGUGCUUCAUUCCUUUUCACGGCUGCAUGAUAUUCUACCGUGUGGAUGGACUGCAUUUCUUUAUCUGUUCAUCUGUUGGUGGACAUUUGGGUCCUUUCCACCUUUGGGCUAUUGUGAAUUGUGCUGCCAUGACCUUUUGGGGACAGGUCUCCGUGUGGACGUGCGCCCAGGGGAGGCCCUGCUAGUGCUUGAAUUCGAUCCACAGGGGCCAGGCCAGAGCAGGAGACGGAGAGGAGGCCGGGAAAUCACAGGCAAAAUCUCACUCUGAGGAUGGACUUCUGCACCACGAGGAAGAGCCUGAGGCGGGCAGACCUGCGGGAGCACAGACCCUACAGUGGGCGGACGCAGAGCUGGCCCAGUGUGGCUGCCAGGCCAGGCUCAGGACUGGGGAUGGCACUGUGGGUGGCCGCCCUUGGCCCCGUGGCACUCCCAAUCCCGUCCACACCCAGGGCGUCCUGCGCCCUGCUCUGUGACCCUCCGCCUGGGUGGAGGGGCAGGCCGGGGUCAGUGCCCCGGAGCAGCCCUCAGCCAGCGAACGACAGGGGGCAUCGCAGGAGGAACGGCUCGGCUCCUCUCCCGGGGGGGCUCCCUGGGGGCAGGGCCCCAGGUGUCUGCGUCGGUGGUCUGCUCAGGAAGAGUUCUUUAGUGACAUCCUGGGCUCGCCUCCCCGAAGCUGCUUGCUCUCUGAUCCUUGUCUCAGGUGGAACAACCUGACGCAAGAAUCCUUUUAAAUAUCCACCGGUGUUUUCUCUGGCCGGGCUCUUGGGGUGCUUGCGUCUGACUCAGCACCCGGUGGUUGUCCUGCUGUCUCCUGCACUGCUGGAGCCCCGUUCAUCUGUUGUCGCUGAGACCCUGCAUCUUCUUGCUUCUGUGGGUGAAUCAGGUCCCUGCAUAAAAUUAUCCCACUUUCAGACCUUCGUAUGUCAGAUCUGGCAAACUGGCUUCUGGGUGAAAUUCCUUUGGAUUUGUGCCUGCUUAGCCCUGCUUUGUUUUGGACCAGUUCCUGGCUUUGUGGACAGGCCCCCUGCCUCCCCGCCAGGUGACCUGGAGUGUCAGGAAAUCGGCGCAUUGCACCUUGGAGCUGUUUCCUUCUCCUCCACCACGGCAGAUUAGAAGCGGGACAGCCGGCUCUGGGCCCAGGCUCCGAACAUGCACGCCACGCCACAGUCCCGGGUGCAGUUUGAACAAGACCCAUUGGAUUCAGCGGGAGCAGCAGAGCUCGAGACCGGGUCCUUGGAAAGACUGCUGCGGGCGACGAGCCACCGUCUCAGAGCAUCGGCUGCUGCGAGGUUGCGGGGCUUCCCAAGCCUCCAGUGCGGUCGCCUGGAGAACAGAGAGUUCCUCGGCUCUCUUCUAGGAAGACUUGCCCAGAAGGACGACAACGUUUCCACUGUGGGUCUGUCCUCUGCCUUCACUGAGCUGGAGGCAGAGGGGUUUCAGAACCUCGGGAGUUUAGGUAGGAAAAGUUUCCCCUUCAUUGAAGACACAGACUUGCAAUUUGCUGCCUCAGACUGUUCGUGAUUGUCCGUGGUGGCAGCCGCAUGGCACUGCCUCUGGACCAUCCCGUGAUGCUACAGUCCAUGCCCAGCUCAGGCCUGAUGCCCUUGGAAGGGCUUUCCCUGUUCUUGGAGUCCAGAAGACCCUCACCCCACGGCCCGGGGGCACACAUCAAGGAGGCCGCCUCCCCAGCCCCGGUGCCUCUGUAGCUGCUGGCUCUCAUCCUCCUUAUGGCUCGAAGCACGUGGUGUCUCCUGCUAGGCUGUGGGCUCCUUGAGGCCAGCGGCUUUCUCCACGACGUCCAUUUGCUAUUCUAGUGCUUGGAGCCGUGCAUGAAGCGUCUGCUAAAUUUAUGUGUGUUCUAACGACUUCUUGAGAACAUGAACAUGACAGAUGCUCGAAUGUGGCCCUUGAAGUAACAAGUGACACGAGACAAACCUCCUCUUUCAGGUCUUGUGGGAAACUUGCUGGAGUGUGGAGAAUCCAGAGUUAUAAUCGUGAAGUUUGGAAGCAAAUACUAAAGGGGGGAACCUCACAGCUGUGCUGUACCUCGCUUGGUAAAAUUUCAGCUUCCUGCAAAGCCAUCAGCGAGGCAUUUCAAACAAAUCAAGUGAUAGCUGGCGUAGAUUUGGGGGCCCUUGUUAUCAAAAUCAAUCCUCUGGAUCAUCCUUUUGUAAAGUAUAAAACCAUUCCCAAAAUUAUGUUUUGUGUGAAUUCAAAUGUAAACAUUGGGCUCAUUUAAAUUCAUGUGUUAACCACAUGGCCCAUGAAAAUGAAACCACUGACACCUUUUGGGGAAGAACGAAAGUUGGGUUAUUUUUCCGGUGUGGAGCUGGGUCCUCACGGACGGAGCCUCUGACGCUCCUUGGUUGAGUCUCUGCAUGGCCGGUGGAAGGUGGGUCGGGCGCGGGCGCACACAGACCUGUGGAGC
ensembl:lncRNA